rnacentral:rRNA from 1 species
AUUGAACGCUGGCGGCAGGCCUAACACAUGCAAGUCGAGCGGAUGAAGGGAGCUUGCUCCUGGAUUCCGCGGCGGACGGGUGAGUAAUGCCCAGGAAUCUGCCUGGCAGUGGGGGAUAACGUCCGGAAACGGGCGCUAAUACCGCAUACGUCCUGAGGGUGAAAGUGGGGGAUCUUCGGACCUCACGCUAUCAGAUGAGCCUAGGUCGGAUUAGCUAGUUGGUGGGGUAAAGGCCUACCAAGGCGACGAUCCGUAACUGGUCUGAGAGGAUGAUCAGUCACACUGGAACUGAGACACGGUCCAGACUCCUACGGGAGGCAGCAGUGGGGAAUAUUGGACAAUGGGCGAAAGCCUGAUCCAGCCAUGCCGCGUGUGUGAAGAAGGUCUUCGGAUUGUAAAGCACUUUAAGUUGGGAGGAAGGGCAGUAAGUUAAUACCUUGCUGUUUUGACGUUACCAACAGAAUAAGCACCGGCUAACUACGUG